rnacentral:ribozyme from 1 species
UUAGGCCACCUUCGAGAUUUUGCGAAAAAAUAUGGGCCAACUGGCGUGGUUGUUUAUUUGUCUGUGUAUGUCCUGACUCUGCUUGGUUGGUACA